UGGGGAAUAUUGCACAAUGGGGGAAACCCUGAUGCAGCGACGCCGCGUGAACGAAGAAGGUAUUCGUAUCGUAAAGUUCUGUCCUAUGGGAAGAUAAUGACAGUACCAUAGAAGAAAGCUCCGGCUAAAUACGUGCCAGCAGCCGCGGUAAUACGUAUGGAGCGAGCGUUGUCCGGAAUUAUUGGGCGUAAAGGGUACGCAGGCGGUUUAAUAAGUCGAAUGUUAAAGAUCGGGGCUCAACCCCGCAAAGCAUUGGAAACUGAUAAACUUGAGUAGUGGAGAGGAAAGUGGAAUUCCUAGUGUAGUGGUGAAAUACGUAGAUAUUAGGAGGAAUACCAGUAGCGAAGGCGACUUUCUGGACAUAAACUGACGCUGAGGUACGAAAGCGUGGGGAGCAAACAGGA
rnacentral:rRNA from 1 species